AGACGUCCUUGUGGUUAGAACUUCUUUUAUGUGGGAAGAAACCUCUGUUUUCUAAUAGAGUUGACGGUACCAUAGGAAUAAGCACCGGCUAACUCCGUGC
rnacentral:rRNA from 1 species